CCUACGGGAUGCAGCAGUGAGGAAUAUUGGUCAAUGGACGAGAGUCUGAACCAGCCAAGUAGCGUGAAGGAUGACUGCCCUAUGGGUUGUAAACUUCUUUUAUAUGGGAAUAAAAUGUUCCACGUGUGGGAUUUUGUAUGUACCAUAUGAAUAAGGAUCGGCUAACUCCGUGCCAGCAGCCGCGGUAAUACGGAGGAUUCGAGCGUUAUCCGGAUUUAUUGGGUUUAAAGGGAGCGUAGGUGGAUUGUUAAGUCCGUUGUGAAAGUUUGCGGCUCAACCGUAAAAGUGCAGUUGAAACUGGCAGUCUUGAGUACAGUAGAGGUGGGCGGAAUUCGUGGUGUAGCGGUGAAAUGCUUAGAUAUCACGAAGAACUCCGAUUGCGAAGGCAGUUCACUGGACUGCAACUGACACUGAGGCUCGAAAGUGUGGGUAUCAAACAGGAUUAGAUACCCGGGUAGUC
rnacentral:rRNA from 1 species